GGUUUUACUACUAUGCAAGUCAAGAUCUAAGGAUAAUAUGCAGGUCUUAGUCAUUUUCUUUUCCUUAUGCUAACACAACUAUUUCACAAAUAAUUAGUUCAACAGCUUGCUGGAAGGAACAUAUGGUUCAGUAAGCAAACAGCGGACGAAUCUGGUACUGCUGUUGAGGAAGGUGCUUAUUCGGUAUCAUUUAUUGUACUCACUUUGUCCUGAAAAAUGAUGUCUCGGAGUAUUUGGAAAUUGUGAUGUUAAAUGGAGCCCUAGAUUAGCAGGCUAGCUGACAUGUAUGUACUUGCGUGACGUUCCUGGAAGCAAUACUUUUCCAUAAACAAAUUGUUUCACAUUUCUAUCACCAUUGAGGUUGCAACUAGACUCAAGUCAAACCUUCUCUCAGGGAUUUGUUCUAGCAGCCGAGUUUGCUCUGCAUUUAUUUUUUUAGUUUCGUUCAGAUGUGUCAUUUUUAGCAAUCAUUUCUGCUUGGAUCACCCUCUUUUGCUCUACAAGAUAUUCUAUUUUUGACGAGUUUCCAUUGAUAUGGGUUUGAAUGUCUAGGAGAUCCGAAUUCACAAGCAGACGCCUUGAUGAAAUAGCAAAGCUUCACUUGUUUUCCCUUGAAACUUUUGGACACUAACCAACUAGAUAUGUCACCGCCUUUUGUGAUACCUAGAACCACAGUCUACGAUGCUGGUCAAUGUUGCCAGGUUCAUGGCAUGGCAUAUCGCUUCUCAGCUUCAGCACGUAGGGCGGCUAUGGCGCCGUCGAAGCAGCAGAUCUCCACUAAGGCAUGGCAGAUCAGGAGUACCGUGGAGAUCUUCACUAUUGUCUAUUGCCGAAGUGGGAUCUCCAGUAGUUGUUAUGGAGAAUCGAGUUGUGAAGCAGAUGAUGACAACAAUGGCCUGAGAGCUAUCUUUGAGGGUUCAUUUUGGCACUUGAUCAAUUUUCUGUAUCUUGGAAGUGCAGAGUAGUGUGUCAAUGUGAUAAGUCUGAUUUAGGGCAUUUAUACCUACACCGGCAUAUGUUCUGGUUGUUGCUUAGAAAGGGUUAUAAUUGCCUGUGUGAUUUUUUUUUGUUUGUUUUUCAGUUCCAUGAGCAUGUUUGUACUCCAAACUAUCUUUUAAGAUUAUUGUUCUCAAUCAAAUGAAAGUCCGUUCCUUCUGUAA